rnacentral:rRNA from 1 species
CAGUCGCCGCGGUAAAACGAAGGAGGCUAGCGUUGCUCGGAAUUACUGGGCGUAAAGGGCGCGUAGGCGGACAGUUCAGUCGGGGGUGAAAGCCCGGGGCUCAACCUCGGAAUUGCCUUCGAUACUGGCUGUCUUGUGUAUGAGAGAGGUGUGUGGAACUCCGAGUGUAGAGGUGAAAUUCGUAGAUAUUCGGAAGAACACCAGUGGCGAAGGCGACACACUGGCUCAUUACUGACGCUGAGGCGCGAAAGCGUGGGGAGCAAACAGGAUUAGAUACCCGGGUAGUCCCUGUCUCUUAUAC